UACGUAGGGUGCAAGCGUUGUCCGGAAUUAUUGGGCGUAAAGAGCUCGUAGGCGGUGUGUCGCGUCGGCCGUGAAAACCUGCAGCUUAACUGUGGGCUUGCGGUCGAUACGGGCAUCACUGGAGUUCGGCAGGGGAGACUGGAAUUCCUGGUGUAGCGGUGAAAUGCGCAGAUAUCAGGAGGAACACCGGUGGCGAAGGCGGGUCUCUGGGCCGUGACUGACGCUGAGGAGCGAAAGCAUGGGGAGCGAACAGG
rnacentral:rRNA from 1 species